GUCCCUGUGGCGCAGUGGAUAGCGCGUUGGACUUCUAAUCUAAAGGUCGUGGGUUCGAUCCCCACCAGGGAUA
rnacentral:tRNA from 1 species